CUUCCCUCUGACAACCACUGGUGUUUUUACCAUCUCUAGAGUUUUGGAUCUUUCAGAAAGUCAUAUAAUUGGAAUUAUAUAGUGUGUGUGUGUGUUUUAAGGGUUGUUUCUUUUCAUGAGAGGCUGAGAAGAGGCGGUCUGUGUUGGAAGGAGAGUGAAGAGCAGAAUCUAGAAAAAAAAAAGAAUCUAAGACUUCUGUAUUUUAAUUUGAAAAGCCUUGAGAAUGGUUUUCUUUUUAACUCUUCACGCUUACACCUUGCUCUUCAUGUCUUUUAUUUAUUUAUUUUUUUGGUGCGUGUAUGUGUGUAUUUUCUUCAGAGUGUUUCGGAUUAUGGAUGAUAAUAACAACCGAACCCUUGAUUUCAAAGAAUUUGUAAAAGGCUUAAAUGAUUAUGCUGUGGUCAUGGAAAAGGAAGAGGCAGAAGAGCUUUUCAGGAGAUUUGAUAAGGAUGGAAACGGAACAAUAGACUUCAAUGAAUUUCUUGUCACAUUAAGACCUCCAAUGUCCAGAGCCCGAAAAGAGGUAAUUAUGCAAGCUUUUAGAAAGUUAGACAAGACUGGGGAUGGUGUUAUAACGAUUGAAGAUCUUCGUGAGGUGUAUAAUGCAAAACACCAUCCAAAGUACCAAAAUGGAGAAUGGUCAGAGGAACAAGUCUUCAGGAAAUUUCUGGAUAACUUCGACUCACCCUAUGACAAGGAUGGAUUGUUUAGAGCCAUAUGUUGAAGAUGGUAGAGCCACAGGAUGGACAGAGCCCUGAAUAUUGUUUGGAGGAGCACCACCCACAGGUUCAGGAGAUGCUGCCACUGGACCCACAUCAGUAAAGGAGAAGGUCUACAAAGGCCAGUGAAGAGAACAUGAAAUAAGACUGAAGUCUUGGCAACAGCAGAGGCAUUUAGAAACACCAAGUUCAUCACACACUUUCCAUGCAGUGGAAUAAUAGUGCCUACCACAAACUAGCUAAACAAAGUUUAAAAGACAAUAUGCUAGUUUCACUGGAAAUCACAUGAUGAAAUCCUAGAUCAAGUUUGCUCAUGGUCUAUAAGAGGCCUCAGUGUGAGGUGUAUCCUAUUCAUCUCUAUACCUCCUUGGGCUUACCAUACUGCCAGGUCCAUCACAGUCCUCAGUCAGUCAGCGCUGGAAUAAGUUAGUGUAGACUUAUAAGCAUAAAUGUAGCUUUUUAAUAGUAUUUGCUUUUGAAAAUUGAAUACAGUUGAAAGAUAAUGGCAAGUUAAUAUCUCAAGCUUGAUUGAUUCUAAGAGUUUCAGGAACAUUGCUUUGUAUAUUGGUGGGUAUUUUAACCCAAUUAGACAUUUAGAAGGCAAAACAGAAAACAAACUUGAAUAUAGAAAAUCAGGUUGAGAUUUCCAUUGCUGCUCUUUGAAACCUGGGCAACAGCCAUGAACUCAGGCAUUUACAUUUUGCAUUGGGUAAAGAGUAAAUUCCAUCAGAAGUAAUUUAUUAUGCGUCAAAAACUUGAAAAAUAUUCAUACCAUUUGACUCAGUAAUUAUAGAGCUAAGAAUCCUAAAGAAAUAAUUCAUAUCCACAAAUAUUUUUACAUAUGGGUGUUCAUUCCGUAUUAUUUACAGCAAAAAUAGAAAACCUACAUUUCCAAACAAGGACAAUGGGGACACAAAUUAUACUACAUUUGUGACAGAAUACUAUGCAGCCAUGAAAACUAUGAUUUAAACGAAUAGCCUUUUUUUU